UACGUAGGGUGCGAGCGUUAAUCGGAAUUACUGGCGUAAAGCGUGCGCAGGCGGUUAUAUAAGACAGUUGUGAAAUCCCCGGGCUCAACCCUGGGAAUUGCAUCUGUGACUGUAUAGCUAGAGUACGGUAGAGGGGGAUGGAAUUCCGCGUGUAGCAGUGAAAUGCGUAGAUAUGCGGAGGAACACCGAUGGCGAAGGCAAUCCCCUGGACCUGUACUGACGCUCAUGCACGAAAGCGUGGGGAGCAAACAGG
rnacentral:rRNA from 1 species